CUACACAUGCAGUCGAGCGGAACGAUGGAAGCUUGCUUCCAGGCGUCGAGCGGCGGACGGGUGAGUAAUGCAUAGGAAUCUGCCCGGUAGUGGGGGAUAACCUGGGGAAACUCAGGCUAAUACCGCAUACGUCCUACGGGAGAAAGCAGGGGAUCUUCGGACCUUGCGCUAUCGGAUGAGCCUAUGUCGGAUUAGCUAGUUGGUGAGGUAACGGCUCACCAAGGCCGCGAUCCGUAGCUGGUCUGAGAGGAUGAUCAGCCACAUCGGGACUGAGACACGGCCCGAACUCCUACGGGAGGCAGCAGUGGGGAAUAUUGGACAAUGGGCGAAAGCCUGAUCCAGCCAUGCCGCGUGUGUGAAGAAGGCCCUCGGGUUGUAAAGCACUUUCAGUGGGGAAGAAAGCCUCGGGGCUAAUACCCGCGAGGGAGGACAUCACCCACAGAAGAAGCACCGGCUAACUCCGUGCCAGCAGCCGCGGUAAUACGGAGGGUGCGAGCGUUAAUCGGAAUUACUGGGCGUAAAGCGCGCGUAGGCGGCGUGAUCAGCCGGUUGUGAAAGCCCCGGGCUCAACCUGGGAACGGCAUCCGGAACUGUCACGCUAGAGUGCAGGAGAGGAAGGUAGAAUUCCCGGUGUAGCGGUGAAAUGCGUAGAGAUCGGGAGGAAUACCAGUGGCGAAGGCGGCCUUCUGGACUGACACUGACGCUGAGGUGCGAAAGCAUGGGUAGCAAACAGGAUUAGAUACCCUGGUAGUCCAUGCCGUAAACGAUGUCGACUAGCCGUUGGGGUCCUUGUGACCUUUGUGGCGCAGUUAACGCGAUAAGUCGACCGCCUGGGGAGUACGGCCGCAAGGUUAAAACUCAAAUGAAUUGACGGGGGCCCGCACAAGCGGUGGAGCAUGUGGUUUAAUUCGAUGCAACGCGAAGAACCUUACCUACUCUUGACAUCGUGCGAACUUUCCAGAGAUGGAUUGGUGCCUUCGGGAACGCACAGACAGGUGCUGCAUGGCCGUCGUCAGCUCGUGUUGUGAAAUGUUGGGUUAAGUCCCGUAACGAGCGCAACCCCUAUCCCUAUUUGCCAGCGAUUCGGUCGGGAACUCUAGGGAGACUGCCGGUGACAAACCGGAGGAAGGUGGGGAUGACGUCAGGUCAUCAUGGCCCUUACGAGUAGGGCUACACACGUGCUACAAUGGCCGGUACAAAGGGUUGCGAAGCCGCGAGGUGUAGCUAAUCCCGAAAAGCCGGUCUCAGUCCGGAUCGGAGUCUGCAACUCGACUCCGUGAAGUCGGAAUCGCUAGUAAUCGUGAAUCAGAAUGUCACGGUGAAUACGUUCCCGGGCCUUGUACACACCGCCCGUCACACCAUGGGAGUGGACUGCACCAGAAGUGGUUAGCUUAACCUUCGGGAGAGCGAUCACCACGGUGUGGCUCAUGACUGGGGUGAAGUCGAAGAU
rnacentral:rRNA from 1 species